rnacentral:lncRNA from 1 species
UCGCUCCGCCUCCCCUCGCCCAACCUCCUCGCUCCGUUCUUCUCACGCCAACUGCAGCGCAGCCGCCGGCGCCGUCGAUUCCGACGCCCUGCCUUUGCCGCCGGCGCCCCUCCCAGCCGACCGCCUCCAGAUCGACGCCGCCGCUCCCAGACGCCGCCGCCGUCGCCUCGCCUCGCCCGAUCCCGGACGCCGCCGCGACUCACGCCGACGCCCCGACCCCACGCCAACCGCUACGCUGCCUCGUCCCUCACGCCAAUCGUCGAUCCACAUCUACGACCGCCGGCUUUCUCCUCCGCGGGCGCUGCUGACCGCCGAUCCACAUCCACAUCGAGGACAGCCAAGGAAGCCAGCGACAACCUCCUCUGCGGGCGCUGCCGACAGCCUCCGCCGCCCGCAUCGCCGAUCUACUCCACGCCGACUAUCUCCUCCGCGUCCCUGGAGGCGAGCCACCAACAACAAGGAUUUGCGACUUCAGGAUAUAUUGACUUGUUGAAUACCGCCAUCAUCGCCACAUCAGCCCGGCUGCCAUCUGGUUUCUUUUGCCCUGAUGUGAUGAACACAUCUGAAGGAGAGCAGCAGAGUAUUCAAGUACAUGUGGCAAAGCAGCAGGUGAGGAUAAUCAUUUUAUCACCAUAGUCAAAAGUAUGCCCCAAAAAUUAUUGCCAGUGGUUGAUUAGGA